rnacentral:rRNA from 1 species
GACGAACGCUGGCGGCGUGCUUAACACAUGCAAGUCGAACGGAAAGGCCCUGCUUUUGUGGGGUGCUCGAGUGGCGAACGGGUGAGUAACACGUGAGUAACCUGCCCUUGACUUUGGGAUAACUUAAGGAAACUGGGGCUAAUAACGGAUAGGAGCUCCUGCUGCAUGGUGGGGGUUGGUAAGAUUCGGCGUUUGGGGAUGGACUCGCGGCUUAUCAGCUUGUUGGUGGGGUAGUGGCUUACCAAGGCUUGGACGGGUAGCCGGGCUGAGAGGGUGACCGGCCACAUUGGGACUGAGAUACGGCCCAGACUCCUACGGGAGGCAGCGGUGAGGAAUAUUGCACAAUGGGCGGAAGCCUGAUGCAGCAACGCCGCGUGCGGGAUGACGGCCUUCGGGUUGUAGACCGCUUUCGCCUGUGACGAAGCGUGAGUGACGGUAAUGGGUAAAGAAGCACCGGCUAACUACGUG